CAGCCGCCGCGGUAAUACGUAGGGUGCAAGCGUUAAUCGGAAUUACUGGGCGUAAAGCGUGCGCAGGCGGUUAUAUAAGACAGAUGUGAAAUCCCCGGGCUCAACCUGGGAACUGCAUUUGUGACUGUAUAGCUAGAGUACGGCAGAGGGGGAUGGAAUUCCGCGUGUAGCAGUGAAAUGCGUAGAUAUGCGGAGGAACACCGAUGGCGAAGGCAAUCCCCUGGGCCUGUACUGACGCUCAUGCACGAAAGCGUGGGGAGCAAACAGGAUUAGAUACCCGCGUAGUCCCUGUCUCUUAUAU
rnacentral:rRNA from 1 species